GUAGUAAAGCUGCAGUAUUAUCUUGAUCAAUUCUGGUGUUAUACGUAAGUGCAUAGCAUGAACCUUUCCUCACAAAGCAGUCAAUGAAUUCGUGACUGAGCAGCUGGUGGACGGAGAGACUCCUCACCACGUAGUACUCCCCAAUGUCUGCAACAGCGCCUUUCAGCACUUCGGGCAGCAGGCCGCACUCAGGGAUCAGCACAGACACGCGGCAGUUGUAGGCGUGGUCCCGCACGUGCACCGCGUGGCGGGAGCGCGCAUGCCGCGCGUUGCCCUUCUCGCACACCAGCAGGUGCCGGGGCGCCUGCUGCAGGCGCCGCAGCGGCACCGACAUUCUCCACCGCAACCUCCGAUGGAACCACCACCUCGCCGCGCGCGACCCGCCGCUCGGCAGAGAUGCGAGGCGUGGGGAACUCCGUGCGUG
rnacentral:lncRNA from 1 species